GCGCCCCCAGGUCAGGCGGGCCACCCGCCGAGCUUAA
rnacentral:rRNA from 1 species